AGCGAACGCUGGCGGCAGGCCUAACACAUGCAAGUCGAACGAACCCUUCGGGGUUAGUGGCGGACGGGUGAGUAACACGUGGGAACGUACCUUUAGGUUCGGAACAACACAGGGAAACUUGUGCUAAUGCCGAAUGUGCCCUUCGGGGAAGGAUUAUCGCCUUUAGAGCGGCCGCGUCUGAUUAGCUUGUUGGUGAGGUAAAGGCUCACCAAGGCUUCGAUCAGUAGCUGGUCUGAGAGGAUGAUCAGCCACACUGGGACUGAGACACGGCCCAGACUCCUACGGGAGGCAGCAGUGGGGAAUCUUGCGCAAUGGGCGAAAGCCUGACGCAGCCAUGCCGCGUGAAUGAUGAAGGUCUUAGGAUUGUAAAAUUCUUUCACCGGGGAAGAUAAUGACGGUACCCGGAGAAGAAGCCCGGCUAACUUCGUG
rnacentral:rRNA from 1 species